GACCUUCCGGGUGUUUCUGCCUCCAAACCUCCGCCUGAGGAGGAGCGACAAGGAGGCGGACAUGGCGGCGCGCAGCCCGGGACGACCGCCGCUCCGCUCCACCGGGGACCCACUUCCUCCGAUUAUUCGAUAAAAUCGCCAUGUUUGGAGAGAAGCGAUGCUGCAGCGUUUCAAAAUAGAUUUCCAAAAGCAGGACGGCUUUUGCAUUGACAUGAAGGGGCUGUGUUCUCAUUGAAACCGCCUCUGCUGGGAACACGGUGAAGAACACCGUAAAAAACAUUGUGUUCACCGUCACUCUCCAAGUUUCUCCAAGAAAAAACACCUGAAGGAGUUAAUUCAUCAGCUAUAAAUGAGGAAGUGUGGAGGAUUCUUCCAGGAAGUGAUGAAAAGUCUUCUGUUAACAGUCUAACGAUUUUGCAUCUUCAAGCAAACGAUUCUGAGCUGCAGCAGGGGAGAAGAAAGGAGCUGAAGAUGAGACGUUUAAGCUGUGAAUGAUGAGAAGAAACGCCGUUUGAUCCAUCCGAGCCACCGUCUCUUAAACCCACAGGAUUUUCAGGAUUUCAGCAGAAAGGAAACAUUCGCACAUGACUCAGCUACCAGCUGCUCUGCAGUCAGAUUAUCUGAGGCUUAUUGCACACAAACUGCACAGAUCAAUCCUCAUUUAUUCCCUUCAAUUUCUUAUUAAAAUACAACUAUUUUGAAAGUUAGUCUUAAAAUAAAGCGGAAAAUGAAGGUUUGUGUCCAAAAGUAAUCAUUUUGAGCACUUUUGCUACAAACUUUGUCUACGAGCUUUUGGACAUAAACAGAAGAAGAAACAAAAUGUUAUAAACUUUUUCUUUCCUCUGAGGUUAAAAAACAACCAAAAACUCAGAUUUAUGCCACAAAAUAAAACAAAAAUGAGGGAAAAAGACACAACAAAGCUAAACACAGCUAUUAUUGAUAGCUUGAGCAGGGAGCAAAUAGCCAGACCACAACAGUUGUUUGUGAGCAUAAAGUUUGUUAGGUAAGAAAAUCCUUUUUCAAAACACUUUUUACGUUUUGUAUGUCCUCUGGUUGCAAUAAAUCAAUAAUUAUGAUCUUUCACCUUUUUUAGACAAUCAGGAGAAAAAACUGAACUGCUAUGUAAACUGUCAUCACCCCCUUCAAAAUAAGAGCAUGAAUGUUUGUUUAUUGAAUCCUCAACAUUCAAGAAACAAAACUUCAACACAAAUGUUGAAUGUUUUCCAUCUGCAAGAUUACAAAACUGACGAAAAAAAUGUGCGCUUUAAAAAAUUAAUUUUGUGGAAGCUAAGUGCUGAAAGUGUUCAAAGUUGAGAAAUUAGCUUUGCUGGUCGUGCACUAACACAACCAUUUAUUUACAAAAAAAUAACUAAAAAAACCGCUGUAGUCCACAUAAGACAAAAAAUAAAACAGUUUAAGUCUUCGGUUCCCCUCCUAAUUCAGACUUAAAUCAUCACAAAUGAUCAGCCAGCUGAGCAGCCAUGCUUGUGGUGAGUUUGCAGUCAUUUUGUCUGAAUAACAGCCAGAGUCCAGCCGCUCUAAGCCCAGAAACAAGGCCCUGCUGGGCCGCAGAUAAAGCCCCCGGCAGCAGCAGACAAUGGAGCCGGGCUUUGGCAAAACGUCACCUCAAACUGCUGACUGUCCACUACUGCUAAUACGCUCCUGCUCUGCCUUUAUACACACUUAUUUGUUUAUGUCUAACAAACAGACACUUAUUAACACAUAUGAAAGCAAACUGCGUACCUCAGUCAGCUGAUUUGAUAAGAAAAGUGAAAAUAAUUAUUCGUUAUUAAUGAAUGAGCAGACUUACUCAAUUACAUUUACACUGUACUUUGAGUAAUUUUAUUAUGAUGUAUUUUUACUCUUACUUGAGUAAAAUGUCUAGAUUUUCUGCACUGAAUGAAACACAAGCAUGUUUCAACCAAAGAUUCACCAGAAACACACCUGCAGUUUUUUGUGAAAGUUUCGUGAGUUUUUAAUGAAAUAAACUGAUUUGGAAA